rnacentral:rRNA from 1 species
UGAACGCUGGCGGCGUGCCUAACACAUGCAAGUCGAGCGAUUCUCCUCGGAGAAGAGCGGCGGACGGGUGAGUAACGCGUGGGUAACCUGCCUCAUACACAUGGAUAACAUACCGAAGGUAUGCUAAUACAGGAUAAUAUAAGAGAUUCACAUGGAGUUUCUUAUCAAAGCUCCGGCGGUAUGAGAUGGACCCGCGUCUGAUUAGCUAGUUGGUAAGGUGACGGCUUACCAAGGCGACGAUCAGUAGCCGACCUGAGAGGGUGAUCGGCCACAUUGGAACUGAGACACGGUCCAAACUCCUACGGGAGGCAGCAGUGGGGAAUAUUGCACAAUGGGCGAAAGCCUGAUGCAGCAACGCCGCGUGAGUGAUGAAGGCCUUCGGGUCGUAAAACUCUGUCCUCAAGGAAGAUAAUGACGGUACUUGAGGAGGAAGCCCCGGCUAACUACGUGCCAGCCGCUGC